UGGGUAAGAUAAGCUAAACUCCAAGCUAGUGGGCCCAUAACCCAAAAAUGAUUACUCUCCUACCA
rnacentral:tRNA from 1 species